AUUGAACGCUGGCGGCAGGCUUAACACAUGCAAGUCGAGCGGAGAUGAGGUGCUUGCACCUUAUCUUAGCGGCGGACGGGUGAGUAAUGCUUAGGAAUCUGCCUAUUAGUGGGGGACAACAUUCCGAAAGGAAUGCUAAUACCGCAUACGUCCUACGGGAGAAAGCAGGGGAUCUUCGGACCUUGCGCUAAUAGAUGAGCCUAAGUCGGAUUAGCUAGUUGGUGGGGUAAAGGCCUACCAAGGCGACGAUCUGUAGCGGGUCUGAGAGGAUGAUCCGCCACACUGGGACUGAGACACGGCCCAGACUCCUACGGGAGGCAGCAGUGGGGAAUAUUGGACAAUGGGGGGAACCCUGAUCCAGCCAUGCCGCGUGUGUGAAGAAGGCCAUAUGGUUGUAAAGCACUUUAAGCGAGGAGGAGGCUACUGAGACUAAUACUCUUGGAUAGUGGACGUUACUCGCAGAAUAAGCACCGGCUAACUCUGUGCCAGCCGCCGCUGUAAGAC
rnacentral:rRNA from 1 species